GUCUUUUCGCAUAUACAGGCAGCAGGGUUGGCAUGGAAUUCACCUCUUCCAGGCGUAAUUUCCAUGGGCUCUCCAAUGAAUCCUUUCUGUAUUGUUUGUACCUGUGAGGAGAAUGCAUCCCAUGAAAUAUUUGACCUAUUCAUAAAUAAGGGAUAGAGCUGUUUAGCACUUGGCCUGAUUGUUCUCUUGUGGCCAAAAUAUCUCCUGCAGAGAGCACCAAAUUUUGGCCAUGUUACCGUUGUUGUUAGUUACAAAAGCAUCACUUCCAUCACAAACAAUAAAAUCAAUUGCCGCCAUGCGAGAUGAGUGUGCCAAGAAUGGAGUCAAUUCCUCUUCUGUGGAUAAUGUUUCUUUGGUAUGGUAAUUGGGGAAGAGCAAUUUGAGGGGUGCUAAAGUGUCUUCCCCUCCAUAUAUCUCACCGGAAGCAACAUAGAUAUGGACAUCACUUUUGUAGCCUAAUGCCCUCAACAUUAGCCCUACCUCCUCAGGGGUUAGUGGGCAUCGACCUUGCCUCCUUCCUUUCUCUGGGUCGCCUAUCUGAAAUUUUUCCAUCGCUUGCGAAUGGAGCCUAGUUCUCUUUUCUCCUUUUCUCCACCACCAUAAUAACACCCAGAAAAGGCAAGCAUGUCAGCAUACCUCAGGUGCAGAGCAAUAAAAUGUCUGCUCUUCUCUCGCAUUCGUUUUAUUAACUUUUCACCCAAUUCUUGUAUUGGGUCAGUAAAUCUCAAAGCAUGAUAGUUGACUCGGCAACGCAGUUUUUGCAGGUCCUUGUCCAGCUUAUUUGAGAGCCUGUAAUCAUAUUUAGGUCCACGACUUACAUGUUUCUUCAGGAGUGCAGGUAAUACACGGUUUAAGUAACAUUUUGGAGUGCAUUUUCGAGGGACGCGCAUUUUAUAAGGUUUCACAGCUUUACCCCCUUUUUCUGGAGGUUCUUUGAUAAUAUUGACAUCCUUUGCAAGAAAUGAGAUGAACCAGUGCUCUAUGCUUUUAUACCUUGAAUCUUUCCAGAAAGAUCUUUGAUCCAAUUCGGGAACAACAAGCGUUGCAUUUAAAAUGCGUGCAGCGACAACAGCAUCAACUAUC
rnacentral:sRNA from 1 species